rnacentral:rRNA from 1 species
UACGUAGGGUGCGAGCGUUAAUCGGAAUUACUGGGCGUAAAGCGUGCGCAGGCGGUUCGUUGUGUCGGUGGUGAAAGCCCCGGGCUUAACCUGGGAAUGGCCAUGGAAACUGGCGAACUGGAGUGUGGCAGAGGGGGGUGGAAUUCCGCGUGUAGCAGUGAAAUUCGUAGAUAUCGGGAGGAACACCAGUGGCGAAGGCGGCGAUCUGGGCUGAUACUGACGCUGAGGUGCGAAAGCGUGGGGAGCAAACAGG